CCUACGGGAGGCUGCAGUGGGGAAUAUUGGACAAUGGGGGCAACCCUGAUCCAGCCAUGCCGCGUGUGUGAAGAAGGCCCUCGGGUUGUAAAGCACUUUCAGUGAGGAAGAACGCCUGGUGGUUAAUACCCAUCAGGAAAGACAUCACUCACAGAAGAAGCACCGGCUAACUCCGUGCCAGCAGCCGCGGUAAUACGGAGGGUGCGAGCGUUAAUCGGAAUUACUGGGCGUAAAGCGCGCGUAGGUGGCUUGAUAAGCCGGUUGUGAAAGCCCCGGGCUCAACCUGGGAACGGCAUCCGGAACUGUCAAGCUAGAGUGCAGGAGAGGAAGGUAGAAUUCCCGGUGUAGCGGUGAAACGCGUAGAGAUCGGGAGGAAUACCAGUGGCGAAGGCGGCCUUCUGGACUGACACUGACACUGAGGUGCGAAAGCGUGGGUAGCAAACAGGAUUAGAUACCCCUGUAGUC
rnacentral:rRNA from 1 species